AUUGCACGCUGGCGGCAGGCCUAACACAUGCAAGUCGAACGAGUGGCGGACGGGUGAGUAAUGUCUGGGAAACUGCCCGAUGGAGGGGGAUAACUACUGGAAACGGUAGCUAAUACCGCAUACCAUCGGAUGUGCCCAGAUGGGAUUAGCUAGUAGGUGGGGUAACGGCUAACCUAGGCGACGAUCCCUAGCUGGUCUGAGAGGAUGACCAGCCACACGGGAGCUGAGACAAGGUCAAGACUCCUACGGGAGGCAGCAGAGGGGAAUAUGGCACAAUGGGCGAAAGCCUGAUGCAGCCAUGGCGCGUGUAUGAAGAAGGCCUUCGGGUGGUAAAGUACUUUCAGCGAGGAGGCGGUACUCGCAGAAGAAGCACCGGCUAACUACGUGCCAGGAGCCGCGGUAAGAC
rnacentral:rRNA from 1 species